AUAUCUUGCCUUCCCCAUCUCAUUUCUUCGCUUUGUACAACGUUUUUUUUUUCUUUUACAUUUUAUUCGCGGGCUUGUGGCAACUAGGAUUUCAAGUUGUUUCCUUGAAUUGGAGGACUUUCAAGGUAACUGGUGUCGAUCAGAGAUGACUUAAUUAGUGCGCUCAUAUUUCUGAAGCCAUGUGGUUCUGCUAUACAGGAAUAUGUUUUCACACUGCCACACUAGCUACUUUUUAUUAUUUCGAAAUGUAGUUCCCUAUGUUUAUCCAUACGGUAUUUGUUUAGUAUAGUCCCACCACUUGUUGUCAAGUUUUGCAUUUCUUAUCACGGUACAAAGUUUACCUCUGCCGCUAUACGAUGUACACACCUUUCUUUGGUAUUCUUUUUGCUUCAUAGAUAUUGCAUAUUACUCCCUCCGUUCAAUAAUUCUUUUCGUGGCUUUAGUUCAAAUUUUGAACUAAAAUUACGACAAGAAUUAUGGAACGGUCCAAAAAACAAAAAACUCAAGUUGAAACAGGUCAUUCAACACCAUAUGUUUGGCUCAUUAAGUCAUUAUGUGGCGGAUUCCUUCUAAUCCUGCAUGGUGGUUCAAACUCAUUAUCCUGCAUGGUUCAAUAGUCAUAUAAAUUAUGCUUCUGUUUGGGUCAAACUCAUUAGUGCUUUUGUUUGGACGCAACUUGCCUCAAGUUUGAUUUGUUUCCUAAUUAUUCUGCAUGCAAAAAUUUCCUUGCAUGAGAUCGCUAGGGAGUCAUUUCGCUCUUAUAUUUCUUCACUAAUCCAAUAUCUCAUCCUACACGAUGCAACAAUAAAUCCUAUAUCACACAUACCCGUUGUGCACACACUGCGGCCGGUCAUCGAAGAGCUUCGGCAACCACAUAAGCACCUCACCCUCGACCGGCUGCAAUGGAGACCGCAGCAUGGUCCUAGUGCACCACGACGACGGUUGGUCGACCUUGAGGCGCCAAGGCGAGUUAUCAAAACCAAACCUGGGUGUUGAUGCUUUGCUGAGGUACGUCUGAUUCGACUAAUUUCUGUUACGUCAAUCUAGAUAUGGACCGGCUUGCAGCUAUACUUUACGAUCUCUAUAGGAUCCAGGGUUUGCAUGUGUGCAGAUUUUACAUGCGUGGAGUUAGGAGCGAGACAUGGAGGUGUGGACAGUUCAUGUGGAGAUUUUGCAUGAGUUCCUCUCCGCAGGCUCUUCAUGUCGGUCGUUGGCAUUGACGAUCGAAUGCCGCGCACAAGUUUAUCUCGUUCUCUUCUAGAAAAGCCAGCGCUUCCUACGUGGUGCCGCGUCACGACGAGUGAGCACCUUGGUUAAGUGAGCACUCCUAGUCGUACAACGCGGUGACGGGUCUUUACAUUUUAUUAGGGCUCGCAGAAGCAUUUCAAGCAGUUUCCUUGAAUCGCAGGACUUCCAAGGUAAUCGGGCAUCAGAGAUAACUUACUGCGGCCAUAUUUUUGAAGCCAUGGUUCUGCUAUACAUGAAUGUAUUUACACUGGUACACUACUUUUAGUUAUUUCGAAAUGUAGUUUGCUAUGUUUAUCCAUAUGGUAUUUUUUGUUUGCUAUAUAUAUAGUCCCACCACUUGUUGUCAAGUUUCGCAUUUCUUAGCGCAGUAUGAAUUUUACCUUUGCCACUAUAGGACGUAUAUCCAACUUCCUUUGGCAUUCUUUAUGCUAGACUAGAUAGAUGUACUAUUGCAUGGUACUCCCCCCAUUCCAUAAUUCGUGUCGUGGCUUUAGUGUUUUAGUUUAAACUAAAACCAAUUUAAAACAAAAAAAAUCAAGUUAAACAAGCCUUUCAUCAAUGUUUUGCUCAUUAAGCCAUCAUGUGGUGGAUUCCUUCUCAUCUUCCAGGGUUCAACAGUCAUAAAUUGUGCUUCCGUUUGGGUCAAACUUGUUAGUGCUUUUGUUUGGAGGCAACUAGCCGCAAGUUUGAUUUGUUUCCUAGUUAUUUUGCAUGCAAAACUUUCCUUGCAUGAGAUAGCAUCAACGUUUGGACUCUUUGAUACGCUCCGCAGCUCCUAUAUUUCUUUGCUGCUCUAAUACCUCAUCCUACACAAUGCAACAACAACAAAAGAAGUACCUCAUCCUGUUUCCUAUAUCUCUUGCAUUGACACAUACCCAUUGUGCACACGCCGCGGCCGGUCAUCGAAGAGCUUCUGCCACCACAUAAGCACCUCACCCUCGACCGGAUGCAAUCCAUACCGUAGCACGGUCCUACUGCACCACGACGACGGUUGGUCGAGGCGCCAAGGUGAGGUUUCAAAACCAAACCUGAUUGUUUUUUUUUUUUGCGAGAACCAAACCUGAUUGUUGAUGCUCUGCUGAGGUACGUCUGAUUCGACUAGUUUCUGUUACGUCAAUCUAGAUAUGGACCGGCUUGCAGCCAUUGAGCCAUACAUCUCUAUAGGAUCCAGGGAGCUAGACAUGGCGGUGUGGAGAGUUCAUGUUUUUUUAGGGUGGAGAGUUCAUGUUUUUUUAGGGCGCUUUUGCACAUCUCACCACCUUUGCCUAGAUAACGAGGAUGAUGCCCUUGCCGUGAUCGCCGUGCUUGAUGAGUUGCUUGUGGUUUAUAGAUUAACUUGCGUGAGUGACAAUCAUUAGCUUAGUCUAAUAAAUACGCUCCAUGGUUGUUUAUGGAUUUCUAUCGUUUCUUUUCUUUUCUUUCUGGAACAAACGUGCAUGUGUUGGUUUUGUCAUGCAAGGUGAAUUCGACAUGUUUCGUGAAUUGUUCAGCUACCUUUUUGUAUGUACUACAAGGGAAACGAUUUGAUCAAGAACGUUUAUAUAAUUCUUUCGCAAAAAAAAAGAACGCCUAUAGAAUUGCAGCUUGAGUUUUUUUUUUGUGUUACUGACUACUCAGAUUUUGAGACAUGAGAGCUACAUAUGGCCUACAUUGUAACAUGAUUGACUCAGGUCUUGGCUAAGCUGCAAAUAUUAAAUUAUAGAUUCUAUAUCUUACAUUAAAAAAAUUUAUAUACAUCUUUGUCAAAAGGUCACGUGUAACAUAAGUUGAAUUAUAAACUUUUUUAUACGAGGCAUAUACCCACCAGUAAUUUCUAUAACUCACAAGGUAGAUGACAUACCCAUGGAUUUUGCGGGUAUAUAAAGUUUGUGAGUACAUAACACUAAACUAACAUGACGUACCACUAGUGCAGAUUGGUCCACCACACACGGUUCAAAAUCCCUAUACACUUGAAAAGUUAUAAGUUUGCUACUAAUCUCGAGCAAGUAUUUAUAUUCAGGUGUAGUUGAAUUGACAACUCAAGUGCUAAAGCUCAUAAGCAUUCUUUGGUUCCCUCCAUGUCGAAUCAAUAAUUUCGGGUUGUCAUACUUCUCAUCGAAGACAACAACUAGAAUUACAAAAGGGGAUGACAAAGCAUCUAGGAUUAAACGAUUAACAUCGUUGCGAUAUCCUACACUUCUAGCGUUGUUGUCGGGGACCAUGGCUCUAUUUAUAGGUUAAUUUGGUGAUUACUUGUCUGCUGAAUUUAUUAUCCUUCAUGGAAAAAACUCAAGAUCUCAAGCCACAGACCGUUCCUUCCAAGACAAGAAGAGGUACCACCUUAGGUACUAAUGUUGCUUAUGAUUGUUCUAUAGUUUUGAACACGCUUAUUACACCACCACUAGGCAUAUUUUGAACAUAUUGUUGCUUAGGGGACAUGUUUCUUCCAAAUGAUGAUUUUUAUUCUUCUCCUAUAUACAUUAAAGAUGAUGCUUAUGAAUUCUCUAUUGACCCCGAAGUAAUUACCUUGGUUGAACCACAUGCAUUCCAUGACCAUGAAAAUGAAAACGUUGUUGAUCAUAUCUGUAAAUUUAAAUCUCUUGUUACCUCUGUGAAGAAAGUUAGAAAUAAACAUUCUUUAUGCUUAAACUUUUCCCUUUUCACUUAAAGAUGAUGCUAAAACUUGGUUGAUAAAAGUUGCGACCCCCUACACUUGUGGGUUAACAAAUCUUUUUUGCAUUUCUGGACAAAUGAUCGGCUAUAGGGUUAUCUUCACCCUUCCUAUCAACAAUAUGUAAGUUAAAUUCUUGCAACAACAAAACCCACCAUGAGUCUUGGUUUAGCAUCUUUCUUGUUCAGAGAUAUUUAAUAGCAGCAUGAUCAGUGUGAAUGGCUACUUUAGAAUCAACAAUGUAAGAUCUAAACUUUUCACAGGCAAAUAUAAUUGCUAAAAAAAAUCUCAGUAGUAGCAUAAUUCUUUUGGGCAUCAUCCAAGCUUUUAUUAGCAUAAUGAAUGACAUCAAGUUUGUUA